AUAUAUAACUAUAGGGUGUAGAAAACAGGGCUUCCUAUCUACUUAGCUGUACUUAAGCUACACGCUAGCUGGUUAGUAGUUGGGUGGGUGACCACCAGCAAAUCCUGGCUGUUAUAUAUU